rnacentral:rRNA from 1 species
UACAGAGGUGGCAAGCGUUGUUCGGAAUUACUGGGCGUAAAGGGCGCGUAGGCGGCCUUAUAAGUCAGACGUGAAAUCCCCCGGCUUAACUGGGGAACUGCGUCUGAUACUGGAUGGCUUGAGAUUGGGAGAGGGAUGCGGAAUUCCAGGUGUAGCGGUGAAAUGCGUAGAUAUUGGGAGGAACACCAGUGGCGAAGGCGGCUCACUGGACCGGUACUGACGCUGAUGCGCGAAAGCGUGGGGAGCAAACGGG